GUAUUUAUAAACAUCACAUAUUCUAAAAUUGGAACGAUACAGAGAUUAGCACGGCCCCUGUGCGAGGAGGUCACGCAAAUUCACGAAGCAUUCCAUAUUUUU